GGGUUCUUAGCUCAGUUGGUAGAGCAGCGGACUCUUAAUCCGUAGGUCGUAGGUUCGAAUCCUACAGGACCCACCA
rnacentral:tRNA from 36 species